rnacentral:rRNA from 1 species
GACGAACGCUGGCGGCGUGCUUAACACAUGCAAGUCGAACGGAAAGGCCCUGCCUUUGUGGGGUGCUCGAGUGGCGAACGGGUGAGUAACACGUGAGUAACCUGCCCUUGACUUUGGGAUAACUCCAGGAAACUGGGGCUAAUACCGGAUAGGAGCUCCUGUUGCAUGGUGGGGGUUGGAAAGUUUCGGCGGUUGGGGAUGGACUCGCGGCUUAUCAGCUUGUUGGUGGGGUAGUGGCUUACCAAGGCUUUGACGGGUAGCCGGCCUGAGAGGGUGACCGGCCACAUUGGGACUGAGAUACGGCCCAGACUCCUACGGGAGGCAGCAGUGGGGAAUAUUGCACAAUGGGCGGAAGCCUGAUGCAGCAACGCCGCGUGCGGGAUGACGGCCUUCGGGUUGUAAACCGCUUUCGCCUGUGACGAAGCGUGAGUGACGGUAAUGGGUGAAGAAGCACCGGCUAACUACGUG